rnacentral:lncRNA from 1 species
UCCUUACCGUUCAAUGCCCUUGAUCUAAUAAACCAGGUUCAAUUCCCUCCAUUAAAUAAAACUGUCUGAACAAUGGCCAUAAACCCUAGACAAAUAUCACCUUCCUCGUACCAACCUGUAACGGCACCUUCUCCGUCACUGCUCCGCCGUCCGUCUCCAGCCGGAAAUCGCCGCCGCCGCCAGCGGAGCUCCAAACGACCCCAAAUUUUCACCAAUGAACCCUCUCCUUCUCCUAUUGCCAACCAUCAGAACCAUUUCCCUCAACUCCCCGCCGAUUGUUUUGAAUUUUAGAUCUAAACUUCGGUCAAAACACAAGUUUGUCCAAAUAAUCCCAAAUUGAUACCAUACAGUCAUCUCAUCUUCCUCUGCAAAAUAUGUGGGUAUUUCACUUCAAAUAUCACCAGGCCGCCUCCAAUUUUCAAUCUAGGGUUGUACGUGUUUGGACUGGUUUGGGGAUUUUUCAAGUCGAGUGGACUCAGGUUAAUAUUAUGAGUCUAUUUCUUAUAAAAUGGACAUAUAAUAUUAAUUUGAAGUUAGUUUCGAAGGGUUCUUAUGAAGUCCAAAUUGUCGUAAUUUUUCUUCUCUGUCUCUUCUUUAGCUUUUCUGUCAUUUUGAUUCGUUGUUUUCUAGCAUAGUUCUUAAUUCCCUUUCUAGUUAAUAACACUUCGUUGCUUCAAUUGUUAUAAAUGUUUAUGUUAAUUUCUUUUAGGUUGAUUUUCAUUUCUUUGUUUAAAUUCUUAUUCGAUUUUGGUGUUUUUAGUUUGAAUGCUCAAAUGUUAAGUGGUCUAAUUAAUCGUUAGUUUAAUUUGGUUUCUCUUUUGUUCUGUUGAUGUGAUGUUGAUUUGGGAUGGGGCCCUGAUUCCAGUAAUUGUCUUAGUUUCAUAUAUCUGAUAAAGUUUUUUUAGUUCAGUAGUACAAAGAUUAAAUUUCUUUUAAUAUGUUCAAAUAGAAUUGUAGUUUGUUCAUACUAAUUUUUGUCGGUUUUGUUCGCCUGGAACUGACUCGGGUUGAUUUCAAUUUAUGGUUUUGCUUGCUGGUUGUCAAUUCAGUUAGUGUUAAUGGAUAUUGAUUAGUUCAGAGUUUUAAUUAGGUUUAAGGUUUGGAUAUAGCUGAGUGGUCUAGUUGAUUUAACUUUAGUAAGGUUGUAACUAGGGUAAAGGGGUUUGGUGCGGUCAACUAAGGCCAGUAAUUUCAGACAUUGGAAGGGCAUUUUAGGCAUAGAAAAAGGUAGUUUUAUUAGAAAUAGUAAUUCCAAAACAAAGACAAGGGUAGUAUAGGUUUUGUGUAGCUAACAGAACAUCCUAGAGCCUUCUAAAAUAGGACUUUAGUGUAGAAUUUAGUAAACUUAGGGCUGACUUGGGUAGCAAGUUAAUAGAGGGUUAAAAAUGAAAAUAAAAAUGGACUAAAAGGAAAACUGAAAAUCUGAGGACUUCAGACUAUUGGAAGGGUAUUUUAGGCAUAGAAAAGGGUAAUUUUAUUAGAAAUAUUAAUUCCAAAACAAAGACAAGGGUAGUAUAGGUUUUGUGUAGCUAACAUAAUACCCUAGAGCCUUCUAGAAUAGGACUUUAGUGUAUAAUUCAGUACAUUUAGGGCCGACUUGGGUAGCAAGUUAAUAGAGGGUUAAAAAUAAAAAUAAAAAGGAACUAAAAGGAAAACUGAAAAUGUGAGGGCUGCCCUCAUUUGUGCUUAUAUAAGGGGCUGCCCUUUACUUGAUUCACAAGUUUUGAGCCUUAAAAUUUCCCCCAAAAUAUUUUUCAAGAUUUCUAGAUCUGAAAUCCAAAUUUCAAAUUCCCUUAGAUCUUCGGCCUCUCAAAUCUUCAGAAAAACAGCAAAAAAAAUCCCCAAACAAGUACAGUUUCAUCAGUUCCCCUAGACUGAUGUUGAAUUUUAAUCACUGAUUCUCCUACUUUAGCACACCAACAACCACUGAGGUUUCAGAGUGUUCUGUAUGCCAAUUUCAAUGAGAUAUAGGUGUAAUUGAGCUAUUUGGUUUGAUUUUGAGUUGAAACUGGUCAUACAAUUCUAUUUUGGGUUGAUUACAUGGUAUAACUAUCGUCUAUUACAUAUUCCUAGACUCUGAUGGUGCAACUUGAUUUUUUAACUGAUCCUACUUGCUGUGACAUUGUUGAUGCGUAUUACUGUUGCUGAUCUUCCUCUUUCUUUUCCUAAUUACAGGUACAUUUUAUCCCUAGUGGUGUGAAGUUUCAAUCAAUGUACCUGAAUCGUUGUGAAAACAAUCUGAUGAAGCAUUUUUGCUAUAAGAGCUUGUUUUUGCUUUCGUUUGCUAGUGUAAUAUGUAGUAGUAGUUUCGUUUAAAAAGAUUGGUAUGAAUAUUAAACAAGACUGCUCAAACCCACCUUGUAACUAUACAGAGCUGUUGAACUGUUGUUUCUUAGGUUUGUUCGAGAAUUUCAGUAAAAGAGCAAUUUCAUGUUAGUUCAGUUAACUUCUGUUAGUAGUUACAUAUAUCUGUUAACUAAAUUUCAAUAACAAGAAAUGCCAUGUUCAAUGAUAGUAGGUUGUAGUUUUGUGCGUUUUCAUGUUCAAAUUUUUUUCUAGUAGGUAAUGUAGUAGGACAUUUGGUAGUCUCAUUUUCAAAAAUCAAAGAGAAUAAUCAGAUUAGGCAGCCUAAUCGCAGGGUUUUAGGCUCGAUUGCAUUAAUAGGUGACCCAGGUUUGGUCUAAUUGAGUAUCUAUUUGGAUUUGGGCCUGGGCUUGCGUUUGGGCCUGUUUUUUAUUAUUUUUUAAUUUGGUCCAUUAGUGGAGAGAUUGAUCCACCGUUUACUGAAUUUGUAUCCUGCAUUUUUAAUUGGAAUUUUGUAACCGAGAUUCAAGCCUAGCUAUUUCAAAGUCUGUUGGGCCUAAUGCCAAGCCCAAUGGCUUAAAUCAAAUUAUUGUUGCUCUGUUUAGA